rnacentral:rRNA from 1 species
UACGUAGGGCGCAAGCGUUAUCCGGAAUUAUUGGGCGUAAAGAGCUCGUAGGCGGUUUGUCGCGUCUGCCGUGAAAGUCCGGGGCUCAACUCCGGAUCUGCGGUGGGUACGGGCAGACUAGAGUGAUGUAGGGGAGACUGGAAUUCCUGGUGUAGCGGUGAAAAUGCGCAGAUAUCAGGAGGAACACCGAUGGCGAAGGCAGGUCUCUGGGCAUUAACUGACGCUGAGGAGCGAAAGCGUGGGGAGCGAACAGG